ACUGUUCUCACUGCGUGUUGCUUGGGGUCUUAAUCCCCGGGACUUAUAGUUACCUUUCCUGUGCCGAUUUGAAAUACAAAUCCACAGUUCAUCCAUGAUCCUAAGAUCCGUGACUGUGAACACUGCAGAUGAGAUGCGCUAGCAUUGUGACCCAUUUUGCAGACUGAAAGUAAUAUUGGACUCUUGUUAUAUCUUCUUGCUUCUUCUUUCUUGCCAGAGAUAGGUGCUGAGCCCAAUGGAAAGAUCUACACGAAAGCGGUGCAGGAAGUCCUUUCUGAGAAAGCUCAUCUCCAGGCUGGAGGGCUUCCUACAACAGCAGGUCCCAGCUCAGGGAGAAGACCUUCCCUUGCAGCGUGCCCCCGCUCUGUCUCCAAGUCCCUGGCUGGAUGUAAACGCAAGGGCUUGGAAGAAGAGCAGCAAACAGCAGCGCAGUUGCCUGCUACCAAAAGAGCGAGGGGUCAGAGCGGAGACAGCGUGCCGGCUCCAGCAGCACAGCCUGGGCCUGCUGCAGCACGGAGCUCCAAGCUAAGAGCAAGAAGACAACGAAAAGAGAGAAGAGUGGAAUUGAAGAAGGCUUCUCUGAGAGCUGACGCUGCACGUGCAGAGUCAUCCGCAAUGAACACCCUUGUGGAGAUGAUGCAGAAGCUGCAGCUGAAGGACUGAGAGGAAGAGCAUCAGAAGGCAGCGGCUGCAGCACGCAGAGUUACAGGGCAGCGUUCUGAGUGCCGCCCAACUUGGCACUCCAUGUUUGGUUGUAGUCAAUAAAAAAUAGUCACAAUUAGAGAUUGA